rnacentral:rRNA from 1 species
UAAGAGGUCCCGCCUGCCCACUGACAGCAAUGUUUAACGGCCGCGGUAUUUUAACCGUGCGAAGGUAGCGUAAUCACUUGUCCUUUAAAUGGGGACCUGUAUGAAUGGCUUUACGAGGGCUUAACUGUCUCCUCUUCCCGGUCAAUGAAAUUGAUCUCCCCGUGCAAAAGCGGGGAUGCAAUCAUAAGACGAGAAGACCCUAUGGAGCUUUAGACACCAAGACAGACCAUGUUAAGCACCCCUGCAUAAAGGACAAAACUAGAGGAUUCCUGUCUGAAUGUCUUAGGUUGGGGCGACCAAGGGGGAAUAAGAAGCCCCCAUGAGGAUAGGAAAUACUAUUUCCACAACUAAGAGCCCCCCCUCUAAUAACCAAAAUCUUUGACCUGCAAGAUCCGGCAAUGCCGAUUAACGAACCAAGUUACCCUAGGGAUAACAGCGCAAUCCUCUUCUAGAGCCCAUAUCGACAAGAGGGUUUACGACCUCGAUGUUGGAUCAGGACAUCCUAGUGGCGCAACCGCUACUAAGGGUUCGUUUGUUCAACG